UUUAGUUCCAUAUAAAGAAAGAUAGUAACAAACAACUUUCAGAAUUUAGUUAACUUUUCUUUCUGCUGCGUAAACCUUUAAAGGCAGACACGAGUCUCUGGAAAGGACAAAACCGUGGUCCUUCUGGGAUGAAGCGACUCCGAAAGCCCCUGAGAUUGGAGCAGAGGAUCUGGGCCGGAUGCUGACUGCAUAUCCGCAAACCAAGACCUACUGUUCUCACUGGGCCAGAUUCUGCACAGGUGAAGAUGCACGGCGCCAACAUCAUGGCGUCGGGAAUAUUGACGACCUUGUUGGAGAUCUGACCAAUCUAAGCAAGCUAUGCUUUCAAGCUCAGAGUGGACCCUGCCAACUUCACGAUUCUUGCUCACAACAUCAUCUUGUGCAUGGCCAUGUUCUCCCAGGAAGACUUCACCCCUGAAGUCCACGUCUCAUUUGACAUGUUUCUACAGAACUUGUCUCUGGCGCUGUCCGACAGAUACCGCUAAACUCCAGAUUCAGGCUCACCAAUCGCUGCAUGGAGCGUGUCACCCGCCACACUACCAGAACACAGUUACUAUAUGAAAUUAAUACAUGUUUACAUUUCUUUUACUUUAGUCACGGUAUAUACUUGUAUUAUUAUUAUUUUUAAUUCUCAAUAAAACAAAACUGUUUAACUUGCUCCGACAGCAGACGUCUCGGACACGCCCCUUUACUCUUUAACUUGUGAAGGGUUCCCUGGUGUGUCGUCACUCAUCCAACACAUUAAAUUAGAAAUUUUGACUUACUGUGCGCACGAGUGAUUUAGGGAUGAUUAAAAACAGCAAGUAAAACACAUACUUCUACUUUCAUAAUAGGCCAAACUAAAGUAAUAAUUAUAUACGACAUCAGAGUCACACUAUCAAUGAGGAGCUGUUAUCAACGCGGGUGGGUGUGCGUAGACCAUCUGAUUGCUCUAGUUGGCCUUUUUCUUCUUUCGGCUGCCCUCUUUAGAUGUCCCAUCAUGUGCCUUCAUCCACGAACCUCCUCUGUGGUCCUCGUCUUUUCCUUCUGAAUGGCAGCUUUCCUUAGAUAAAGGAGCUGUCAUGGCAAGGCAGAUACUGCGGUGCACCCUAAAAUAAUCUCGUCGCCCCUAGUCACUGUCAUAGUUUUGCACAUGACAAUAUUGUUAUUUAAAAAAAGCUAGCAUUAACACUUUGAUUCUAGCUACACAGAAUUAACACAGAAAUUGAAUAUAUUUCACAGUGUCACCCCAACCCCGUCUUUGAAAAACGGUUCAGCCCGUAGCAGCCCCUCUAAACUGUUUUAUUUCUUGUUGUCAGUAGCUGUCGCCUAUGAUUGGUGCCAGAGCACAUCUUGAAUGAAGAGGAAUUUCAGAUUUCAACACAGAUAGAAACACAGAUGAAAAUUCAAUUAUAACCAUAAUGAGGAUGGCUGAAAGUCAGCAUUGUUUCAAAUUUUCUGAGGGGAAACAGGUAGAGGUCAUAAAAUACACAUGAGCACUAAAGACUCGCUCACUCAACGUUGAAGUGAAUACAUGUGAACUAGUGUGUAUUAUAAAUUAGUCUGUAGUUCUGUAGCCUUAAUUAUUUCAUCAGUCUGUGUAUAGCACACACUUUGAUUCCCAAAAAUCAAGUAGUCGUGCGAAUUCCUGCCCCCAUCAAAUCUGUUAGCUCCAUCAUGCUUUAUGAUUAUAUGUAUUGUCUCCCAUAAAUCAUUGGGAUUCGUCUUUGGACAAUGCACAGUGCGGGUGGGGUGCUGCCAGUGGCGGGUUUUGAUAUGGGCGACAUGGGAGGUUGCCCAGGGCAGCAUUGUGGUGGGGGUGGCAUCAUGGCAUCGGCAAAAAAAGUUGCUCGUACCCAUGCUGCCCCGACGUCAUGCCAGCGCAUUUUGGGGAUUGCAUGGGCACCGAAAAUAAACCAACAAACUACGGCUGUCAACGUUAAUGCCGUCUUCAGGAUUAACGUGAUUAAAAUUUCUAACACAAUUAAUCCAUCAGAAUGAGUCCAAAUCCCUGAAAUGAUACAGACUUAUAAUUUGUUUUCCAAAAUCUAUUACACACAUAUACCCAAAAAGUGAGCGUGAGGGGCCUCGGUGCGCCUGCUGCUGAUGCUGCUGUGCUGAAGUCUCACGGGGAGGGGGCGGGCUGCUUCCAUAAUAUUGUCAAUCCAAGCCCAUUAUGUAUUAAUUUUUAUUCCUGGUUUGUGUGAAAUCCAAGAAAAAAAAAAACAAAUACAAGGUGUAGCUCUAUUAGUUUAUGUUGUGGGGUUGGGUGUUUAUAUUAGAGCGCAAAAAUUACUGAUGGAAGGUGGAAAAGAAAAGGUCAAAGCCAUCAGGUCCUCAGUUUAGAAAAAAAGAGAAAAGGAGACACAUCCGGUCAGAUGUGUCUUUGGAUAAUGGCAGGUAUUGUGUAUCCUGAAACAAGAUAACAUUCAUUAGUGGGGAUUGGGAAAACUUGGGAAAACUGUUUACCUUUGUUAGCCACUUGGCUAUGAUAGUAAACAGUAGACAGACAGUAGACACUGACACUGUGGCAGCCAUAGUGACAGAUCUGUGUCAGUUUUAUUUUUUAUUAUUUUUAUGCAUUCAUAUAUUUUUAAAAAUAAGUUGAAGCACAAAACGCCAACCGGGUGUAACAGGUGUUUCGCAUGAACUCAAAAUCUUCAGCAGGGGCGGGGUGAGACGCCAACCGAGGUCACACCCUAUGUAAGCUGUCAUGGUAUUUCUGCGUGGUUAAAAUAAUUCAUUUCCCCCCCCAUCGAAACUCCAUCAAUUCAUCCACCCAAAAUAAUAAUAAUAAUAAUAAUAAUAAUAAUAAUAAUAAUAAUAAUAAUAAUAAUAAUAAUAAUAAUAAUAAUAGGAAGAAGAAAAAGAAAGCAUUUCGGAAUAAUGACGAUAAAACAGAAAUAGCUGGUUCUGGGGGACUGCCUGGUCAUUGUAGUUGCUGCUCGUUUAGGUCAAUACUUCACUGCUGAGGUCCGUGCAGCUUCCAGGAGAGUCUUUGUAGCUCAAGCCUCCCUGAGAAGGCAGUACUACUAGCUCCAGAGGACCGUCACAUGCUCUAUUUUUAAGUUGUGUAUAUAAGCUUUCAGUAAAUCAAUCGCUACUCUUCUUUAAUUAGCCCAUAAAGAGAAAAAAAAAAACCCAUUCCUGGUAAAAGCUACAAUAAUAAUCCAACUGUUUAAAAAUGAUCACCACAAACGACCAUGAGAGUUUAAUUGCAUUGGAUCUUUUAUUACAUGUGAGACUGUCAGUGAGUACUCGAGCACAUAAUGCAGUUUAUCUGUAUUUCUCAGACAGGGCGAGAGCAACAGCAGCCAGGAACUUGUCCACAGCCACAUGGACCUCAGGGCUGAAGUCGUCGGGGAACAUGGUGGACAGGACCACGAGGAGGUUGUGAGACAGAACCUGUGGAAAGAUGAUGAUCACAUUGAAAUGAAUGGACUUUUCAUUUAUUUAUUGGUAACCAGAGAUCAUCAUUUCAGAUCAACCAGUAAUCUAUCUAAGAUCAAAUGAAAGCUGAGUUAGAGUGAGUUUAAUUUGUAGUCCAAUCAGUGUUCACAAUAGAACAGAAAAAUUAAUUUGGCAAACACUGUCAUAGUAAAUGGACCGAUGUAUAUAUAUUGCUUUUCUAGUCUACUGGAGCAUUCAAAGCACUUCGAACAACUUGCCUAAUUGACCCAUUCAUACAAGUACUUCUUUUCUAUGACUAGGCUUUUUUCUCUCUAACAUUCACACAAAUUCACACUUCAGUGAUUACACUGAACCACAAACUUUUUAUUAAGUAGAUGACCUCAAAUAAUGUCACCCCACAAAUAUGACAGUAAUAAUGAUCAGUACCUUGAAGUUAGCAGGGUCCACUCUCAGAGUGAAGGCAUGCAGCUCACUGAGGCUCAGAAGAGCUCCGGUCAGAUCGUCAAUUUUGCUGACAGCAUCAGUAACUGCAGCCAUCACGGUUGCUCCGUGCUUCUUCACCGGGGCAGAGCCGGGGCGCAGGUCCUUCCAGUGGGAGAAGUAAGUCUUGGUCUGAGGGUACACUGUCAGCAUCCUGGAUAAAAAUGUAAGAGAACAAGCCAGCGGGUAAGAGACAGAAAUGCAGGAGCAGGUUUUUGUAGGCAGUGUGGGGCCAUAUUUACCUGGAGACAGCAUCACAGCCGAUUUGUUCCUCCUUACCAGCCACUUUAGCCCAGAAGGUUUUGACUGUGUUCUUGUCCUUUGCAGAAAGACUGGUCAUCUUGCCUGUUGUUGCUGUUGGAGUUGUGUUCAGCUCAUUCUGUGGAGGUCUUAUAUAUGAAACAGGAAAUGCACACACCCGACCCACCUCACAGAUAAGGUGUUUGACUGUCUAUCCCUGGACUCAGAGGUAUUUUGGUCAAUUUGGAAACCUCUACAAUGCUGCUGCUAUUGCAUCAAAUCCAAGGGUUGCUGCUCAUGGAAAAGUCAUCAUGGAAGCUCUGGAAAAAGCAGUGAAGGACAUGGACAACAUCAAGGCCACAUAUGCAGAGCUGAGU